rnacentral:pre_miRNA from 9 species
UCUCUAUAGCGUAAAAGUUAACUCAAAUUUGUAUGGAGUUGGAACGUUUGCCUAAGUUUGCCGCUAGGGGCGCUUCGUUCCAACUACAUACAACUUUGAGUUAACUUUCAGUCAACUCA